UGCAUGAGUAUCUGUGCUGACGGUAAAUAGGAUGUGUUGGUUUACAUGUGCAAUUAAGGAUUUUGAGACUGUUCAAUUUGAACUUGUAAAAUAAGAAAAAUUAAAAAGAAUGUUGUUUCAAGAACUUGUAUGUGCGAUCAACUCAAUACUUUGUGGGAAUUGAAGUUUGGUAGACCGCAUGUUAUCAUCAAGGACAUCUAAAUAAGUGUUAUUUUUAAACCGCAUGUUGGCCUUCUUGAUGAAAAUUUAUUAUUUGAUUACAUAAUUAAUGAUUCAAUUUAUUUAACACCUAAAUAAGUGUUAUUUUUAAACAAUAGAGAAUUCAAAAUACCAUCAUUUGUAUGAUUCAAUCCUAUUCACAUACAAAUGCAAUUUAUGUGGUCCUUGUAACGUGGAAGAGGAAAUCAUACAAUAAAUUGUAGUCUUUUGGUAUUGUUUGAAUCUAAGAAGGGUUUAUUCUUUAACUCAGAGAUCUCUCUCGCAACUAUAUCAAUGGGUCAAUUCCGACAUUUUUUUCUAAGCUCCCGCUCACAAAUUUGUCCCUUUUGGGUAACCACAUUAGUGGUCCAAUUCCUAAGGAAAUUGGAGAUAUUGCUACUCUUGUGGAGUUGAUCUUGGAGGAUAACCAGCUUGGAGGAACCCUUCCACCAAACCUUGGAAAUUUGAGGAAUUUAAAGAGGCUG